UACGGAGGGUGCGAGCGUUGUCCGGAAUCACUGGGCGUAAAGGGCGCGUAGGCGGCUCGGUAAGUCCGCUGUGAAAGUCCAGGGCUCAACCCUGGAAAGCCGGUGGAAACUGUCGAGCUCGAGUCCGGAAGAGGCGAGUGGAAUUCCUGGUGUAGCGGUGAAAUGCGCAGAUAUCAGGAGGAACACCAAUGGCGAAGGCAGCUCGCUGGGACGGUACUGACGCUGAGACGCGAAAGCGUGGGGAGCGAACAGA
rnacentral:rRNA from 1 species